AUAUGUAUAUAAUAAAAAAGAGUUUGAUCCUGGCUCAGAAUGAACGCUUAUAAUUAGCUUAACACAUGCAAGUUUAAUUUUAUUUAUAAAUUAAUAAAAUUAUAGCGAACGGGUGAGUAUUACAUAGAAAUUUUACCUUUAAGUUUUGUUUAAUUUAACUUUUUAGAUAAGUCUAUGCAAGAUUAAGUAUUUAGUAAUAAAAUUCUAUUAAGCUUACAAUCUUUAGUUGGUCUUUGAGGAUGAACAACCACACUGGAAUUGAGAUAUGGUCCAGACUCUAUUAUAGAGGCAGCAGUGAGGAAUAUUGGGCAAUGAGCGUAAGCUUGACCCAGCUAAGUUACGUAUGUUACUAAGGUAAGUAACUGUAAUACAUUUUAUUUGAUAAGAAAUUAUGAUUUAUUUUCAUAAAAAAGUCCUGGCUAACUUCGUGCCAGCAGCCGCGGUAAUACGAGAAGGGCGAGCGUUAUUCGGAUUAACUGGGUGUAAAGCAUACGUAGAUUGAAAAUUAAUUAAUAAUAAAAAAUUUAAAAUAAACUUUAAAAACCUAACUAAAAAAAUUUUCUUGAGUUUAUCUGAAGAUUACAGAACUUUAAAUGUAACGGUAAAAUGUUUUGAUAUUUAAAAGAAUUUCUAAAGCGUAGGCAGUAAUCUAAGUUAAAACUGACAUUAAGGUAUAAAAGCGUGGGUAGCGAAGGGGAUUAGAUACCCCCGUAGUCCACGCCUUCAACGAUGAGUGUUCACUUUUAUUUUUAAUUUUAGAAGUUUAGUUAACACGUUAAACACUCCACCAGGGAAGUACGGUCGCAAGAUUAAAACUCAAAUGAAUUGACGGGGGCCCGCACAAGCGGUGGAGCAUGUGGUUUAAUUCGACGAUACGCGCGAAACCUUACCAAUUUUUGUAUACAUAGUACAGGUGCUGCAUGGCUGUCGUCAGUCCGUGCUUUGAAGCGUUUGAUUAAUUUCAACAAACGGACGAAACUCUUAUGUAUUAAUUACAAACCGGCAAAGAUAUUUUGCAGGAAGGAAAGAAUAACGUCAAGUCCUUAUGACCCUAAUAAGUUGGGCUACUUUCAUGUGCUACAAUGUUUAAUUCAAAAAGUAAUUAAAAUGUAAAUUUAAAUAAUUCUUAAAAAUUAAACUUGUUCUUAUUAUUUUCUGCAACUCGAAAAUAUAAAGCUGGAAUUGCAAGUAAUCGUAAAUAAGAAUGUUACGGUGAAAUUGUUCUUAGGUCUUGUACACACCGCCCGUCACGCUAUGGAAACUAUGAUCAUUUGAAAAUUAAGUUAUUAAUUUAUAAUGCAAUAGCAACUAAAGUGAAGUCGUAACAAGGUAGCCCUAGGGGAACCUGGGGCUGGAAAAUAAAACU
rnacentral:ncRNA from 1 species